rnacentral:rRNA from 1 species
GGAUAAACGCUGGCGGCGUGCCUAACACAUGCAAGUCGAACGCCCUGGAGCAAUUCAGGGAGUGGCGGACGGGUGAGGAACACGUGGGUUAUCCUUGCCUUUGAGGUGAGGAAUACCGGCGAGAAAUCGCCGACAAUACCGCAUACGGUUCGUAAGAACAAAGUCGCAAGACGCCUUGAGAUGAGCCUGCGUCCGAUUAGCCAGUUGGUGGGUAA